rnacentral:rRNA from 1 species
AUUGAACGCUGGCGGCAGGCUUAACACAUGCAAGUCGAGCGAGCGGCGGACGGGUGAGCAAUGUCUGGGAAACUGCCUGAGGGAGGGGGAUAACUACUGGAAACGGUAGCUAAUACCGCAUACCAUCAGAUGUGCCCAGAUGGGAUUAGCUAGGAGGUGGGGUAAAGGCACACCUAGGCGACGAUCCCUAGCUGGUCUGAGAGGAGGACAAGCCAAACUGGAACUUAGACAGGGUCCAGACUCCUACGGGAGGCAGCAGUGGGGAAUAUUGCACAAUGGACGCAAGCCUGAUGCAGCCAUGCCGCGUGAGUGAAGAAGGCCUUCGGGUUGUAAAACACUUUCAGCGAGGAGGCGUUACUCGCCGAAGAAGCACCGGCUAACUACGUGCCAGCCGCCGCGGUAAUAC